AUGAUUGGAAUGAGCAAGACAUUAGUGAGUUUGUUGCUUUUUGAUGGAACCAAAUGGCAGAACUCUGAAGCGGACAUCGAGCAUCGAACACAGGCCUUGAAGCGUGAGGGUUUCUGGUCAACGAAGCGCCUCAGCCGCCUGACGGAGCCUCAGCGACCCAAAGUUCAUUGGGAUUACUUGUGCGAGGAGAUGCAGUGGCUUUCUGCUGACUUUGCUCAAGAGAGACGCUGGAAGAGAGGCGUGGCCAGAAAGGUGGUCCGAAUGGUGGUGCGACAUCACGAAGAGCUUCGGCAAAAAGAGGAAAAAGCAAAAAGAGACGAACAUGCCAAAAUCAGAAAAAUUGCCUCCAAUAUCGCAAAGGAAAUCCGAUCUUUCUGGAGUAAUGUUGAGAAGGUGGUUCAGUUCAAGCAGCAGUCCAGGCUGGAGGAGAAGCGGAAGAAGGCUUUAGAUUUGCAGCUGGACUUCAUCGUAGGCCAGACGGAGAAAUACUCCGACCUUCUCAGCAAGUCACUGGCUCCCAGCAGGCCUCCUGAGAUUGUUGUCUCUCCUCAAAAAACACAUCCAUUCGCCAUUGAUGAGGAUGGUGAAGACUUCGAGCCUCCGUGUGAAGAGGAAGAUGACGAGGAAACCAUAGAGGUUGAGGAGCAGCAGGAGGGCAAUGAUGCUGAGAGCCAUCAGAGGGAAAUUGAACUACUGAAGGAAGAGAGCAUGUUGCCCCUUGAUCAACUUCUCAGCACUCUCAAAUUACCUCCUCCACAGAUACCUCAUCUAAAUGAGGAGCAGGAGCGGGAGGAAGAGGAAGAUGGGGAAUUUACUGCUAAUGAUGAGGACGCCGAGGAUGAAGAGGACACCAUAGCAGCACAGGAGAAGAUAGAAGGAAAUGUCGAUCAUGCAGAGGAGCUUGAUGACUUGAACAGAGAGGGGGAAAUGAGCAUUGAAGAGCUGCUGGAGAAGUAUAAAGGAGCUUAUGUGUCCGAUUUCGAAGAACCAUCUGGUUCUGGCUCAAAAGCAAGCUCCAAUUUGGAGGUUUCUGAUGAUGAUGAAGGAAUGGAGCUUUUGCUGAAGGAGGGAGACGGCAGUCUGUCUUCUUCCGGCUCUCGACCAAAGAAAGAAAUCAGUCAUAUUGCUGCUACUGCUGAGAGCCUGCAGCCUAAAGGUUACACUCUGGCUACUACAAAGGUCAAGACUCCUAUUCCAUUCCUGCUUCAUGGCACUUUAAGAGAAUACCAGCACAUCGGGCUGGACUGGUUGGUCACCAUGUAUGAGAAGAAGCUGAAUGGAAUACUAGCAGAUGAAAUGGGUCUGGGUAAAACCAUCCAAACCAUUGCUCUGCUGGCUCACCUUGCCUGUGAAAAAGUGAACUGGGGCCCCCAUCUCAUCAUUGUCCCCACCAGUGUGAUGCUAAACUGGGAAAUGGAGUUGAAACGCUGGUGUCCCGGGUUCAAAAUCCUCACUUACUUUGGCAGCCAGAAGGAAAGAAAGCUUAAGAGACAGGGCUGGACGAAGCCGAACGCUUUCCACGUGUGCAUCACCUCAUAUAAGCUGGUGCUGCAGGAUCACCAGGCCUUUAGGCGGAAGUCUUGGCGUUAUUUAAUCCUCGACGAAGCUCAGAACAUCAAGAACUUCAAGUCCCAGCGUUGGCAGAGUCUGCUGAACUUCAACAGCCACCGGCGACUGCUGCUGACGGGAACGCCUCUCCAGAACAGCCUGAUGGAGCUUUGGUCCCUCAUGCACUUCCUGAUGCCUCACGUCUUUCAGUCCCACCGAGAGUUCAAGGAGUGGUUCUCGAAUCCGCUGACGGGGAUGAUUGAGGGCAGUCAGGAGUACAACGAGGGUCUGGUGAAGAGACUUCACAAGGUGCUGAGGCCGUUUCUUCUCAGGAGGAUCAAGGCUGACGUUGAGAAGCAGAUGCCCAAAAAAUACGAACAUGUGGUGCGCUGCCGUCUCUCUAAGAGGCAGCGAUUUCUCUACGACGACUUCAUGGCACAAGCUUCGACCCGUGAAACUUUAGCCAGUGGACACUUCAUGUCUGUGAUCAACAUUCUCAUGCAGCUCCGCAAAGUGUGCAACCACCCCAACCUGUUUGACCCCCGACCCAUCCAGUCGCCCUUCAUCACACAGCCCAUCGUCUUCUACACUGCCUCCAUAGUGCAGGAUGCACUGGACGUUCCCCCUCUCAAGCGCUGCGAUCUUUCGAUGUUUAAUUUGAUCGGUUUGGAGGGUCGCAUGACCCGUUACCAAGCAGACAACUUCCUGCCACGACAGAAGGUCACCCGGCAGCUGAUCCAGGAGAUAAUUGAGGCUCCGGCACCUACCACGGCAAGAACUAGAGAAUACACACACAGAGAUAUUCUUAACGGAGUAACAUUAGAUCUUUACAGGAUCAUCUUUUUGUGGUUUUACAACUGUCACAAUGCUUGUCUGGUUUCAGUGGUGUGUUCAGUUGCACCCACUCCUCCGCCUCGUCCUUCUGUGCAUCCUGCUCCUCAAACUGCUGUGAGAUCCACUACUCCCAAGCCAAUGCUGACUAUCCGGGCACCUGCUGCUCCUUGUGCAGCCGGUGUUCCAGCCCAUCCGAGUCCAAACCCCAGCAGCGUCCUACCACAAAGGGUUUUACUGAGUCCUGACAUGCAAGCAAGGCUGCCUUCUGGUGAAGUGGUCAGCAUAGCACAGUUGGCUUCCCUGGCAGGCCGACCCGUUUCUUCGUGUCAGGGCAGUAAACCCGUCACCUUCCAACUUCAGGGCAACAAGCUGACUCUGUCGGGAGCCCAGAUUCAUCAGGUCCCAGCCGCUAGUCCACGCCCAGUUCAAGGUAAUGUAAUGCAUCUGGUUUCAAGCGGGACGCAGCAUCACAUCAUCAGUCAGCCAGCACAGCUGACUGUUCAGACAACAAGCAACACGCAGUCUGCGAAUACGCCGUCCACCACCCCCCCACCAAACCGACUCCAGCAGAACGCCACCUCUCAAGGUUAUUUUUGUCAUCUGAAAGAAACAUAUAUUUUUAUGUCUUCUCGGAUUUAUGUUUUGCAUCAUCUUUCUUCUUUGAUUUCUUUUAUUCAACAGUCAUGGCUGGAUAAUACCCUCAAAGACCAGAUCAAAAGCCGACUGGACCUCAUUUCUCGAGUCAAUGAUCGUCAUUGUGGAGUAAAGCCGGUGUACGGUGUAGAGGUUCUUGACUUUCUGACGUUUCUACCUGGUCCUCAUCCAUCUCCUUGGCAAAACAAGGACAACUUCUGGUUUCAAAGUCUCGCUUUAAAGGAGGCCAUCCACAGCGUUGAGGAACGGUUGGAGCUCCUCAGUGAUAAAAUAGACAGGUUUACAUUUGUUAUUCCUCCAGUCGAGGCUUCUCAGAUCUCCAUGCACUGCUGUCAUCCUCCUCCAUCUCUGCACCUCAAACAGGAAGUCUUUUCAUCUGCACUUUCAGCUCACGUUGCUCCUCUGACUCGUAGCCUUCAUCGUAUCCAGUGUAACACGAGGACUCAGUUCCCUGACCUGAGGCUCAUCCAGUAUGAUUGUGGUAAACUUCAGACUCUCCAUGUUCUGCUGCGAAAACUGAAGACGGAAGGGCACAGAGUGUUGAUUUUCACCCAGAUGACUCGCAUGCUAGAUGUGCUGGAGCAAUUCCUCAACUACCACGGGCACAUUUACCUGCGCUUGGAUGGCAGCACACGAGUAGAACAGAGACAGGCUCUUAUGGAGCGCUUUAACGCAGACCGCAGAAUCUUCUGCUUCAUUCUGUCGACGCGCAGUGGGGGCGUGGGGGUUAACCUCACUGGAGCCGACACCGUUGUGUUCUAUGACAGUGACUGGAAUCCGACCAUGGAUGCUCAGGCACAGGACCGUUGCCAUCGAAUCGGCCAGACCCGAGACGUCCACAUCUACAGGUUGAUCAGUGAGCGCACAGUGGAGGAAAACAUUCUAAAGAAAGCUAACCAGAAAAGGAUGCUGGGAGAUAUGGCGAUUGAAGGAGGAAACUUUACUACUGCCUUUUUCAAGCAGCAAACCAUCAGGGAGCUGUUUGAUGUCAACGAUGGUGAGAAGAGGGAUGUGGCAGUGGAGCUGUCCGUACCUCAGUCAGAGGAGGAGGAAGGUGUCACCAAACAAAGCACCACCAUUCUGGAGCAGGCGCUGUGUCGUGCUGAGGAUGAGGAGGAUAUAGUGGCUGCUUCUCAGGCCAAAGCGGAGCAGGUGGCAGAGCUGGCAGAGUUUAAUGAGAACAUACCGCUGGAUGACGGCGGGGAACAAGAGGAGGUGGAGGAGCUUUCCAAAGCUGAGCAGGAAAUUGCAGCUCUUGUUGAACAGCUCACUCCCAUUGAGCGGUAUGCCAUGAACUUCCUGGAGGCUUCAUUAGAAGAUGUAUGCAAAGAGGAGUUAAAGCAGGCUGAGGAACAAGUUGAGGCUGCCAGGAAAGACCUGGACCAGGCAAAAGGCGAAGGUCUCAUGCUUCACAAUUCAUCUGAUGAAGACAAUGGCUUCUUGUCAACGCCAGUUUCUGUUGAACCUCCCCAUCCGACUCCUGCUCGCCGUGGACGUAAACCCAAGGACAAGACUCUCACUUCAACACGCACCAGUGGCCGACUUCGUGGAGCGUCACCCGAAAUGGAGCCAGAACCCAAAAAUUCAAGAGAAGUGCCUGAAAAACUCAGAAGAGGACGAGGAUCAGCCAGAGAUGGGGCGCCUGCAGCGCACCCUCAUGCAGACAGUCACAAAUCUUCCUCCUCUACCAGGCAACACGAUUCCUCCAAGUCCUCCAACGCAGCAUCUCCCUCAAGAGAUCAGCAUAAAAGCCGAGCUCAGCCAAACCGCUACCAUCCCAGCUCAAAGGAGAGGAGAAUGUCUGAGUCAUCUAUGGACUCCAGCUGUGCUGUAGACCAUCUGACUAAAGACGAUGACGGCAAGGAGCACUGCGCCGUGUCCCCGCCCUACUCCAGGUCUCCUCGUAAGCGUCAGUCAGCUGAUGGUGAAGUGCUGCAGGGCCUGAUGGAUGAUUCCCCCUCAGCCAAAGUCUUGCGAAAGCUUCCAGGAAGGUUGGUCACAGUGGUGGAGGAGAAAGAACCCCGCAAGAGGAGACGGCGAGGGAGUGACACCGGAGCGGGAUGUUCCUCAGAAGAUGUGGUAGUGGAGGAGAACGCUGCUGGAUUAUUUGAUGAACCAAACAAAGACGACACACCUCACAGCCCUGAUGGAAAGCCUAAAGGUGAUGACAAGUCUCCUCAGAGCCAGAGUUCAAGUUUGCUGAUGCACAGGCAGCCUGUCAGAGGUUACCCGCCGUAUUCCCCCCCACACCUUUCUCCAGACAUGCCUGUGCUGAGGAACCUUCCUGUGCGAUCCCGCAUGGCGGCUCAACUGGGGGAGCAGCAGCAUCUGGGGCGAGGAAGAGGCCAAUCCAAGAAAACUGAGACCUCUCCUGGAAAAGACGCAGCUGUAACUACCACAGAGUCUACUCCAAAUUCCCUGGUGACGCCUUUGAAAAGGAAGAGGGGCCGGCCCCCGAAAACUCCCCAUCCCUUACCUGAGAUGGACAGUGGACGGACUCCAGUGCUACAAGCUGCGUCUAUGAACGAGGAAGGGGAGCCCCCAGUUUCCCCGAAACGUAAAAGAGGUCGCCCUCGCAAAGACUCUUCAGCCACAGCAGAAGCUGCGAUAGAACCACAGACCCUCGUUUCCAAAAGUGAUGCUGGAGCAGAGCCCAGAGUCCCAUCAGAGACCCCUCCUGCUGUCAGCACCAGCCACACACCCCAGUCUACCGAAGCUCCUGAAACCAAGACCGAUUCAGACUCGGCUUCAGCUUCUAUCUCGGUUGAAGCAGCACCCCCACUUGCAUCCCCGGUGUUUUCCACUCCGUCUGCACCCACCCCUGUACCAACAUCCACCCCUGUACCAACAUCCACCCCUGUACCAACAUCCACCCUCGUCUGUAGUUCCACUCCAAGUCUCCAACCACCAUCAGUUUCAUCUUCUGUUGCAUGUUCCACCACACCCAUCUCUGCUGCAGCUCCAUCACCCCCCACCAGCACCAUCUUAGCUCCUCCCUCUGUGGUGUCAACAACCGAGGUUUCUACA
rnacentral:lncRNA from 1 species